rnacentral:lncRNA from 1 species
AUUCUAUGUAAAUGUUAGAGUCUCAGUAUAUUCUCAGUAUAUUCUAAUGUAAAUGUUACAGUCUCAGUAUAUUCUCAGUAUAUUCUAAUGUAAAUGUUAGAGUCUCAGUAUAUUCUCAGUAUAUUCUAAUGUAAAUGUACAGUCUCAGUAUAUUCUCAGUAUUUCUAAUGUAAAUGUACAGUCUCCUAUAUCCACGUAAAAGGUACGUCUCGUAUAUUCAUGUAAUGUUACAGUCUCUGUAUAUUCUAAUGUAAAUUGUAUAGUCUCUUGUAUAUUCAAUGUAAAUUGUAUAGUCUCUGAUAUUCUAAUGUAAAAUGUAUUAGUCUCUGUAUAUUCUAUGUAAAUGGUUCAGUCUCUGUAUAUUCUAAUGUAAAUGUUACAGUCUCAGUAUAUUCUAAUGUAAAUGGUACAGUCUUCAGUAUAUUCUCAGUUAUUUCUAAGUAAAUGGUAUAGUCUCUGUAUAUUCCACUGUAAAUGGUUAUUCUCAGCAUUUCUCAGUAUAUUCUAUUAAAUGGUACAGUUCAGUAUUUCUAUGUAAAUGUUACAGUGUCAGUAUAUUCUAUGUAAAUGGUACAGUUCCAGUACAGUCUCAGUAUAUUCUAAUGUAAAUGUUACAGUCUCAGUAUAUUCUAAUGUAAAUGUUACAGUCUCAGUAUAUUCCACUGUAAAUGUUACAGUCUCAGUAUAUUCUCAGUAUAUUCUAAUGUAAAUGUUACAGUUCUCAGUAUAUUCUCAGUAUAUUCCAUGUAAAUGUUACAGUCUCAGUAUAUUCAGUAUAUUCUAAUGUAAAUGUUACAGUCUCAGUUUUCUCAGUAUAUUUAAUGUAAAUGUUACAGUCUCUGUAUAUUCCACUGAAUGGUACAGUCUCUGUAUAUUCCACUGUAAAAGGUACAGUCUCUGUAUAUUCCAUGUGUAAAUGGUACAGUCUCUGUAUAUUCUAAUGUAAAUGUUACAGUCUCAGUAUAUUCUAAUGUAAG